AGUUUGGUGCAGUGAUUUUAGCGUUAGAUUACAGCUCUGAAGACCAGGGUUCAAAUCCCUGCUCAGCCA